UUAAUUUUUCCGAACUUAGAAGAGCUAUUUUGGUAUAAAUUUUAUUGUGGAAUAAAUAUUUAAAAUACCGAGUUAGUAGUGAAAUGUUAUUCGUUUCUAAAUAUAUCUGGUUUUUUGAGAAAUAAAUUUAAUUUAGGUUUGUUUUAAAUAAUUUGUUUAUUUUUUAAGUAAGUUGUUUGACUGUUCUAAUGUCUCGAGGGAUGAGCUUUUGGACAAAUUUUUAUAAGUUAUUAGUUUUUAGUAAGAUGGGUAGGAUUGGAAGUUUCUGUCUUUAAAAGGGUGUUAUAUUUGAUCUUGUUAUGUAUUUUAUUUAUAUUUACUUUAAGUUUUUUAUCGAAAUUUUAAUUUUAAUUUUUUAUGUUAAGUGAUAAUGAUAAAAUUAGUAUAUUUUGUGUUUUUCGUUUUAAUUUUUUUGAGGUUUGUGGAAGGAAUUCGGCAAAAGUUUUUUCACCUGUUUAUUAAAAACAUGGCCUUUUGAUGUUUAUUUAAGGUCUAGCCUGCCCACUGAGUAGUUUAACGGCCGCGGUACCCU
rnacentral:rRNA from 1 species